rnacentral:rRNA from 1 species
UUCCGGUUGAUCCUGCCGGACCCCACUGCUAUCGGGAUAGGACUAAGACAUGCUAGUCAAGCGCUUUCUAGCUAAUGUGAGAGCGCGGCGUACAGCUCAGUAACACGUGGCCAACCUGCCCUUGGGACGGGAACACCCCCGGGAAACUGGGGUUAAUUCCCGAUAGGUGAAGAAGUCUGGAAUGAUUCUUCGCUCAAAAGACGUUUAUGUCAUGCUCAUAUUCGUCGCCCAGGGAUGGGGCCGCGACCGAUCAGGUAGUUGGUGAGGCAAUGGCUCACCAAGCCUUUUACCGGUGCGGGCCGUGAGAGCGGGAGCCCGGAGAUGGGCACUGAGACAAGGGCCCAGGCCCCACGGGGCGCAGCAGUCGCGAAAAUUUUGCAAUACACGAAAGUGUGACAGAGCUAUCCCGAGUGCCAUCCGCUGAGGAAGGCUUUUACCCAGUAUAAAUAGCUGGGAGAAUAAGGAGAGGGCAAGUCUGGUGUCAGCCGCCGCGGUAAUACCAGCUCUCCGAGUAGUGUGGACGUUUAUUGGGCCUAAAGCAUCCGUAGCUUGCUAGAUAAGUCCUCUGUUAAAUCCACCGAUUCAAUCGUUGGUUUGCGGGGGAUACUGUUUGGCUAGGGGACGGGAGAGGUCGACGGUAUUUCCGGGGUAGGGGUGAAAUCCUAUAAUCCCGGGAGGACCACCAGUGGCGAAGGCUGUCGACUAGAACGCGCCCGACGGUGAGGGAUGAAAGCUGGGGGAGCGAACCGGAUUAGAUACCCGGGUAGUCCCAGCUGUAAACGAUGCAGGCUAGGUGUUUGGGCGGCCACGAGCCGCCCUAGUGCCGCAGGGAAGCUGUUAAGCCUGCCGCCUGGGGAGUACGGCCGCAAGGCUGAAACUUAAAGGAAUUGGCGGGGGAGCACCACAAGGGGUGAAGCUUGCGGUUUAAUUGGAGUCAACGCCGGG